UCAGUCAAGUCGAGCAGCCAACUCUACGUUUUUGGUAUGUCUUGAUUUUUUGAAUUAAUAUUUACCAUAUUUCAGCCAAAUGUAGUUAAACGUCUAGAGUGUCGCCAUGUAACAUGCUAAAAAAGAGCCGUUAGCUUAUUUGCUGUUUUAUCUGUUGUCAAAGAAUUGGCGCUUUUUCAUUUGAAUUUGUCUUUGGCACAAGAGCCGUAAUAUCACAUUAAACCUAAUUACGAGGCACUCAUAACAUAAUUUGGUUUUCUGUGUGAAUAGAUUUGCCAACUGACUCUUCAGUUACAUUGUGUAUUUACUGCACCGUGGUGUUAGUGAGAUUUUGGACAUUGAACAGCUUUAGCUAAUAUCAUCAGCGGCAUUAUGCUAGCUUACAUCCCUACCCCUCCUGCCCUCACCUGCUGUCCUUUUGUUUUUGUUUUUGUUUUUUUUGCUGCACAUUGAGAGACGACCUCUAUUCUGCAUUUCACCAGGAGUCAGCUGAUGGAUUGUGGGUUCAAGGUGUUAUGAUAAAAUGCAGCAUUCCAGUGCAUCCCAACCUUGCCUUUACAGUCAAGGUUUCUGACGGAGCUGAGUUUCUCUCUGACAGUCUGCUGAAAGUGUUUGCAAAGUGAUCGGGGGAACAGGGCACAAAGCUAAAGGAUGUAGCUGCCAUGAUGACAGUAAGAACUUUAAAAUUCUUUAACUACAAAGUGUAUAUGUAUUGCAUUAGGUCAGUAAAAGAUUUUUAUGCUACAUCCAUUGAAACAGUCAACUAUUACCUGUGAGUACUGAUUCCACUGAAAGGAUGCCAUAAUUUUCGUCAUGCAUUUACUGGCCCACUGAGAAAAAUUUAUCUUUUUUUAAAAAUAAAUGUUCUGGAAACUAUAUAUCCAUAAAGUUGAUGUCAAACAGGAACUUUUGAUAUUGCUUUGUAGAUGCUGGUGUUGCAUGUUGACUGGUUUAAAAAGUCAAGAGUUUUUGUCUGGGAUCAUUUUCUUCUGUGCUACUGAAAAGUUCACAAAUCUCUGUUUUCUUUGUUAUAAUAGUCAAGGAUGACAUUAAUGCUCGGAGUCCCUCAUCAAAGUGCUCCGCAUCUGUGUGAAAGACAAUUGCAACAUCUUGGUGCAGGAGUUCAUGGACUUGACUGAGGCCACUGCACAGAUUGAGAAAACCACAAUGAACAUCUGUCUCCAGAGGAUGCACCAGGCAAUGACUUUUCUGAUGUUGGCAUCAUCAUCGAGGGUGUAGUAGUUCUUCAAGAUCUGGAUAACGUGACCUUUGCAGUAGCCAUGCUGUUUGGACCUUUUUUAUUCCUUCAACAUGAGUUACCCAUCACAACUCUGCUACACUUUUGAGGUGAUUCAAAGGGUGGUAAUGGAGUUGGAUGCAACUCAGCUCUCAAGAAAAGCUCACAACUAAGACAAAACUGCUCCUGCAAGGAAAGCUCACUGUUAU